UGAUACGAUGAGCGAUAAGCAAGGAGUGUCGUGCCAAUUANUGGCGAACGGAUGAGUACCGGGUGAGCAACCUACCCUCAAGACGAGAAUAACCCUGCGAAAGCGGGGUUAAUGCUGGAUGGCAUCCUGAAGGCGCAUGCCUUUGGGAUGGAAGAUAGUCCCGAUGUAUCACGACUAUUGCUGGAGGAAGGGCUCGCCUCCUAUUAGCUAGUUGGUAAGGUAACGGCUUACCAAGGUUUCGAUGGGUAGCCGGCCUAAGAGGGUGUACGGCCAUACUGGGACUGAGACACGGCCCAGACUCCUACGGGAGGCAGCAGUGGGGAAUUUUGCGCAAUGCCCGCAAGGGUGACGCAGCGACGCCGCGUGGGCGAUGAAGGUCUUCGGAUUGUAAAGCCCUGUCAAACAAGAAGAACUAUCCUGAAAACUAAUACUUUCAGGAUAUGACGGUAUUGUUAGAGGAAGCCCCGGCUAACUCCGUGCCAGCAGCCGCGGUAAGACGGANGGGGCAAGCGUUGUCCGGAAUUACUGGGCGUAAAGAGCGCGUANGCGUUUCGAUAAGUCGGGUGUGAAAGCCUUCUGCUCAACAGAAGAACUGCGCUCGAAACUAUCGGGAUUGAGUACAGGAGAGGAGAGUGGAAUUCCCAGUGGAGCGGUGAAAUGCGUAGAUAUUGGGAGGAACACCUGUGGCGAAGGCGACUCUCUGGCCUGUUACUGACGCUGAGGCGCGAAAGCUAGGGGAGCAAACGGGAUUAGAUACCCCGGUAGUCCUAGCUGUAAACGAUGGGCACUAGGUGUAGGAGGUAUCGACUCCUUCUGUGCCGUAACUAACGCGUUAAGUGCCCCGCCUGGGGAGUACGGCCGCAAGGCUGAAACUCAAAGGAAUUGACGGGGGCCCGCACAAGCGGUGGAGCAUGUGGUUCAAUUCGAUGCAACGCGAAGAACCUUACCGGGGAUUGACAUCUCGAUGACGGUCUCGAGAAAUCGGGCCUUCUUCGUUUAUCGGGGACAUCGAGACAGGUGGUGCAUGGCUGUCGUCAGUUCGUGUCGUGAGAUGUUGGGUUAAGUCCCGCAACGAACGCAACCCUUGCCCUUAGUUGCCAUCAGGUUAUGCUGGGCACUCUAAGGGGACUAUCCCGAAAACGGGGAGGAAGGAGAGGACGACGUCNAGUCAUUACGCCCUUUAUAUCCCGGGCUACACACGUGCUACAAUGGCCUGUACAAAGGGUUGCUAAGUCGCGAGACGGAGCCAAUCCCAAAAAGCAGGCCUCAGUUCAGAUUGGAGGCUGCAAUUCGCCUUCAUGAAGGAGGAAUCGCUAGUAAUCGUGGAUCAGCAUGCCACGGUGAAUACGUUCCCGGGCCUUGUACACACCGCCCGUCACAUCAGCCGAGUCGGGUGCACCCGAAGUCGCUGACCCAACCCUGAGCUUGUCGAAGGGAGGGAGGCGCCGAAGGUGUGUUCGGUAAGGGGGGUGAAGU
rnacentral:rRNA from 1 species